CAAAUCCCCAAUUCGCUUCGCCCCCAGCAACCCUAGCCCUUCCCUGAUGGAUCCGCCGCCCUCCAGGGAGGAGCCGGAGCUGGAGCCCGGAUCCCGUCCCUGCCCCGACGCCGACGAGCCGGAGACCUCCCCAUCGGAGCGCGACGACCCGGAGACCUUCCUACCGGAAUCGUCCGGUGCUUCGCCGCCGCCGCCUCUACGCCAGCAGCUCAUGGGGGCCUGCCGCGCCGACGAGCGCCUCAGGCCGCUCCUCGCCCUCAACGUCUCCUGCACCGCCGCCGACGA
rnacentral:lncRNA from 1 species